UACGUAGGGGGCUAGCGUUGUCCGGAUUUAUUGGGCGUAAAGAGCGUGUAGGCGGCCAGGUAGGUCUGCUGUGAAAACUCGAGGCUCAACCUCGAGACGUCGGCGGAAACCAUCUGGCUAGAGACCAGUAGGGGAGUGUGGAAUUCCCGGUGUAGCGGUGAAAUGCGCAGAUAUCGGGAGGAACACCAGCGGCGAAGGCGGCACUCUGGGCUGGUACUGACGCUGAGGAGCGAAAGCGUGGGUAGCAAACAGG
rnacentral:rRNA from 1 species